rnacentral:tRNA from 1 species
UUGAUAAGGACGGGGUUAAUCCCGCCUGCACAGGGCUACAACCUGCCGCCUAUCUCGGCC